GGCUGGUAAAUCUUACGCGGUAACUUGUUAAUUAGAAAGUUUAUUAUAUAUUUGGAUGUCACAGUUUGUGUAUAGCCAUUAGAAGAAAAGACAACGCUUAGGGUUGAUGAUCACGGCUCGUGUUGCUAUCUGAAACUAUUUUACAAAAAAACAAAGCACGUAUGUCUUAAAGUCUACUGGGAAUAUUGGCUGCACUCGGUAGUUACUGGAUAUAUAGUUGUGUUAAUUAAAAAGUUACAGAAAUGUCUAAACCCUGGACAACUCCUAGAACGGAUAAAUCUGCCAUUGCAGAUGAAUUGACUCCACGUCACUAUGACAACCAUCACCAAGGCAGUAUGUUUGGGAACGUAAGAAGAUCAAGGUCAUGUUUCGUCAUCAACCCUGAUUGGACGUCAGAAAGUGUCAACACCCCAAGAAAUCAGCCCUUGAGCCGACCACCAUGGCCUUGGGAGCAACCCCGACACCGAGUCAACAUGCAGGUGCCCAUGACGUAUACCGUAAUGGAGAAACCGACUGCUAUCCACCCGCAAUCCACCAUACCUUAUUCUGGACGAACCACUACGGGUCGUACUUAUCAUGUUCAAAAUUCAUUCGGAAACCCAGCUAAAGGUUUAACACCCAUCGAAACUGUCGACAGGACCUAGAGAUAUUCUUUGUUUAUAUUUCGUUGAUGUAUUUUUUUUUAAUCUGCCGAAUUUCCGCCUUUUGAAUGCUACAUGUUAUAGUAGUAAUAUCAUUGGUUUUUUUUUCGAAUUUUAUAAAUGAUUUAAUGCUUUGUUUUUGGUAUUGGUUGUUUUAAGCAAUCCUUCACAAAUUAUGCUAAUAUUAUUAUUAUUUGUGUAGUGGUGUUUUCAUUGUGUUGCGAAAUCGUAUUCCUAUAUUACGAAAUAUAAAUGAAAUAAAAUGGGGUUUAACUUCAUAGUUUGCGCUACCAACCGGGCUAAUGGCGACCAACAUACCUCAUGAAGUUCCCGCCUACUCUGGCAAGUGUUCUUAUAUGUGCAAGUCAGUGUUUAAACGCGAUACGGGUCGCCUGUCCAAACUCGUGGGUUUUCUCCGGGUCCUCCGGUUUCCUCCCCCUAUGCGCAAGCGAAUUAUUGAAAUAAAAUUGAACCAUGUGUUAGUCCCGAAGUGACCUAGUUUGUGUUGAGUGGACGUUAAAUCCCAUUUCUCUCUCUCUCUCUCUCUCUCUCUCUCUUUAAACGCGGUACCUUGGUUUCUGGUUUCAUCCGAACAACAAGACACAUUUUAAGCUCUCUCCCACCUCCAAGUUCUGCAUCACGGAUAAGGACAAACCGGUCUUGAAAAUCGUGAGGAUCUUUCUCGACCAACACCGGGAUCGAACCCGUGACUUCAUUAUUAAAAGUAUAUUACUGAUCUGUAGAUCUUAUGCCAUUUGACAUUAUAAUAUAUUGGCACUCGAAGACACCGCGUCGUUGUAAAUACCCUAACCUCUUUAUACUCGCAAUUAGUGAGAACAAAAAUACAACUCAACGAAACAUUGGCGUGCCGACUAACUGUUAAGUGUUGACUUAUUGUGACUACAGGGAUUAGAGUAUUGGCCGCGACGCCGGCUAUUUUGAAAUUUAUAUAUUUGAAAUUGAUCUUUAUUCCUGCCAGUAUCCAAUCCAAAACGAACGGAUUUCAGUUUUAAAUUCCUGGCUACAAGUAAAUGUGAAUAUCAUGUUAUUUAUCGGUAAUUUAUUGUUAUGUAAAAUAUUUAUGUAAGUAACAUAUUUAUUAUAUUUUAAUGUAAGUAAAAUAUUAAAUUAUUGUA